CAGCCGCGUAAUUCCAGCUCCAAUAGCGUAUAUUAAAGUUGUUGCAGUUAAAAAGCUCGUAGUUGAAUUUCGAGACCGGCUUACUGGUCGUGCUAUUGUGCGUACUGGUAUAAUCGGUUUCUCCUUUCUGACGAACUAUAAUGCCAUUAAUUUGGUGUUAUAGGGAAUCAGGACUGUUACUUUGAAAAAAUUAGAGUGUUUAAAGCAGGCUCACGCUUGAAUACAUUAGCAUGGAAUAACGGAAUAGGACGUUUGAUUCUAUUUUGUUGGUUUCUAGGAUCGACGUAAUGAUUAAUAGGGAUAGUUGGGGGCAUUAGUAUUCAAUUGUCAGAGGUGAAAUUCUUGGAUUUAUUGAAGACUAACUACUGCGAAAGCAUUUGCCAAGGAUGUUUUCAUUAAUCAAGAACGAAAGUUAGGGGAUCGAAGACGAUCAGAUACCGUCGUAGUCUUAACCAUAAACUAUGCCGACUAGGGAUCGGAUGAUGUUAAUUUUUUAAUGACUCAUUCGGCGCCUUACG
rnacentral:misc_RNA from 1 species